GCUGCCGCAGCCAAUGGGGCGGGGGAGUGCUGCGGUGGGCGGGGCCCACCGGGGCCAAUCCGCCGCUGGCAGCUGCGGCGGCGGAAGCGGAGCUCGGUUCUCCGGCGGCGGCUCCUCUGUGGCGGCUGCUGCGGGACGCCCCGGGCUCAGGCGGAGAUGAGCUCGCAGCAGUUUCCCCGCUCGGGCGCGCCGCCCGCCGGCCUGGGACCAGCGCCGCCGCCCAUCCCCACCAGCGGCUCCGCCGGGCUCAUCGCUCCCGCCGCCGCAGUGAGUGACGAAUCCAGUCGUGACUCAGAAGUUGCUCCUAGAGAGCAUGUGGGCCCUGGCGGCUCCAUACAACCUCGAGAAGAAAAGCAGGAACCGGUGGUUGUUCGGCCGUACCCGCAGGUUCAGAUGCUGACCCAGCACCACCCUGUCCAGUCCGGUGCCCCGGUGACAGUGACAGCGCCGCCUGCGCAUUUGACUCCAGCUGUGCCACUUUCCUUUUCAGAUGGACUUAUGAAGCCUCCCCUGAAGCCCACUAUGCCCAGCCGGCCCAUUGCUCCUGCUCCACCCUCUACUCUCUCGGCUCCCACGAAGGUUCCUGGGCAAGUUACUGUGACCAUGGAAAGCAACAUCCCGCAGGCUCCAACAAUUCCUGUGGCAACAAUCAGUGGGCAACAGGGGCAUCCUAGUAACUUGCAUCACAUCAUGGCCACCAACGUGCAGAUGUCUAUCAUCAGAAGCAGCGCUCCUGGGCCUCCACUGCACAUCGGCGCCUCUCACCUGCCCCGAGGUGCGGCAGCUGCUGCGGUGAUGUCCAGUUCUAAAGUGACCACAGUCCUGAGACCAGCAUCCCAGUUGCCAAAUGCGGCUACGGCUCAGCCAGCGGUCCAGCACAUCAUUCACCAGCCGAUCCAGUCUCGUCCUCCAGUGACAACUUCGAGCACUAUUCCUCCUGCUGUGGUGGCAACUGUCUCAGCCACAAGAGCUCAGUCCCCUGUUAUAACUACGACAGCAGCACAUGCUGCAGAGUCAACCCUCAGUCGACCCACCCUGUCUAUCCAGCAGCACCCGCCUUCUGCAGCGAUUAGCAUUCAGCGGCCUGCCCAGCCGAGGGACACAGCUACUCGGAUCACACUACCAUCUCACCCAGCUAUAGGAACACAGAAGCCACAGCUCCACACUAUGGCUCAGAAAACUAUUUUCAGUACUGGGACUCCAGUGGCAGCAGCAACGGUGGCACCUAUUUUGGCAACAAAUACCAUCGCUUCAGCAACCACGGCUGGUUCUGUGUCUCACACCCAAGCGCCUACAAGCACCAUUGUCACCAUGACAAUGCCUUCCCAUUCUUCCCAUGCUACAGCUGUCACGACCUCAAACAUCCCAGUUGCUAAAGUGGUUCCUCAGCAAAUCACACAUACUUCCCCCCGGAUCCAGUCUGACUACACAGCAGAGAGGAGUAAUCUCAUCCCCCUCUCCAGUCACCGGGCGUCUCCAAACCCAGUAGCAAUGGAAACCAGAAACGACAACAGGCAGUCGGUGCCUGUGCAGUUCCAGUAUUUCUUACCAACGUACCCACCCUCUGCCUACCCUCUGACUGCGCACACCUACACCCCCAUCACCAGCUCCGUGUCCACCAUUCGCCAGUAUCCAGUUUCAGCCCAGGCGCCCAACUCGGCCAUCACAGCCCAGACCGGGGUCGGAGUGGCCUCCACCGUCCACCUCAACCCCAUGCAGCUCAUGACUGUGGACGCCUCCCACGCCCGCCACAUCCAGGGCAUCCAGCCGGCACCAAUCAGCGCCCAGGGCAUCCAGCCAGCACCAAUCAGCGCCCAGGGCAUCCAGCCAGCACCAAUCGGGACGCAGGGACUCCACCCCGCUGCACCAAUUGGCACGCAGGGUCUGCAGCCGGCACCAAUCAGCGCUCAGCAGCCACAGGCAGACACCAAGACUUCAGCAGUGGUCUUGGCAGACGGAGCCACCAUUGUAGCCAAUCCUAUUAGCAACACAUUCAACACGGCUUCUGCGGCAACCACAGUUGUGCAAACCCACAGCCAGAGCGCCAGCGCGCCGGCCCAGGGCUCUUCCCCGCGCCCGAGCAUCCUCCGGAAGAAACCAACCACGGAUGGGCUGGCCGUCCGGAAAAGCUUAAUUCCACCCCAGCCGCCUGAAGUAGCCGGCACACGUGUCGAGAGCGCGAUGCGGAGCACCUCUGGAUCACCAAGGCCCGCUGGAGCCAAGCCAAAACCUGAAAUCCAUGUGUCCAUGGCCACUCCAGUGACGGUGUCGAUGGAGGCAGUGUCGAACCAAGGCGGCGAGCAGCCCACCAUCGCGGUGCCUCCCACCUCCCAGCAGCCCCCCUCCGCCAUUCCAACCAUCAUCGCAGCAGCCAGUCCCACCUCGCAGCCCGCAGCAGCUCUGUCCACCAUGCCGGGAGCCGUCCCGGCCGCUCCGCCGACAUCCACCACCAUCGUGGCAGCACCCGCUCCGCCGUCAACCAUGAGCGGUGCCCUGUCAGCCGUGCUGGGUCCUGCCGUACCAGAGAUCAAAAUCAAAGAGGAAGUGGAGCCCAUGGACAUCAUGCGGCCGGUAUCUGCAGUCCCCCCUUUGACAACAAGUACUGUGUCUCCGUCUCUGGCAUUGCUGGCCAACAACCUUUCGAUGCCUCCAAGUGAUUUGCCACCCGGUGCCUCCCCGAGGAAGAAGCCCCGUAAGCAGCAGCAUGUCAUCUCCACGGAGGAAGGGGACAUGAUGGAAACAAACAGCACUGAUGAUGAGAAAUCCACUGCCAAAAGUUUGCUGGUGAAGGCAGAGAAGCGCAAGUCUCCUCCAAAGGAGUAUAUAGAUGAAGAAGGUGUCAGAUACGUCCCUGUGCGUCCCAGGCCGCCCAUCACGUUGCUCCGUCAUUACCGCAACCCUUGGAAAGCCGCUUACCACCAUUUCCAGAGAUACAGCGACGUCCGGGUGAAAGAAGAGAAGAAGGCCAUGCUGCAGGAGAUUGCCAACCAGAAGGGCGUAUCCUGUCGUGCACAAGGGUGGAAGGUCCAUCUCUGCGCCGCUCAGCUCCUGCAGCUGAUGAUCAAAAUUGGCAACUCCCUCCUGCUGAUGCACAGGUCUGAAGAAGCGUCUGUUUGGGAUGGUGCGGCUGAUCUGAGGAGGCAGCACUGAUCCACAUUCCUGGAUGCUUCUGUUUCAGGUUGGGGGUGAGACGAACCUGGAGCACGAUGUGUACGAGAGGCUGACCGCGCUGCAGGAGGGGCUCAUCCCCAAGAAAAAGGCAGCGACCGAUGACGACUUGCACCGCAUCAACGAACUGAUACAGGGGAACAUGCAGAGAUGUAAACUUGUGAUGGAUCAAAUCAAUGAGGCUCGAGACUCCAUGCUAAAGGUUUUGGAUCACAAGGAUCGCGUUUUGAAGCUCCUAAACAAGAAUGGAACUGUCAAGAAAGUAUCCAAAUUAAAGCGAAAGGAGAAGGUCUAAAGCCAGAAUAACAGAGAACACGUACAGAACGGAGUGGAACAUUUUUGUAGUUGGGUUUUAUUUUUAAGCAGAGCAUCUGAAUAAAAAGGAUGAGUUUAGGGAACAGAUGGCAACAGAUGGACACGUGAAGCCUGGCGGCCGGAAGGGAUUGUUGCUGAUCUGUCGUAACGAACAAAGAUUUCUCUCAGGCUCAUCCCUUUUUCAAGUCUUUUCCAGUCCCAUUUGUAUAACCCUCCUGAUGUGUCAGUGCCUACUAACGGGAACCAGUGACGCAGCGUGAGGCGGACUCUGCUCUCCUUCCAUUCUGCAGCUUAGUGGUAAAUGCACGUGAGGUGUGUAGGCGCCUGUCACGCAGGAGCAGGUUCUGCGGGGACACCGCGAGGCCGACGUGCAGGUACCGACACGGAUGUCACCCGAGCGCUGACAGUGACCGCGCUUUCAGUUACCCCGUUCAGUUCUUGUUCCUCUGCCUUGCCAGUGUCUGAAGCAGCCUUCUCCAACCAGUGCCACUGCACCGGGAUCUGCCCCAGUCACGUCUCCAAUGGCUUGGGAGUCCUAGCUGUCAGUUUAAAAAAAAAUUCUAAAAAGAGGAAAAAAAAAGGAAAAAGGUGGGGUGGGAAAUCAUUUCAAAGUGAUUUUGUAGUGUCUGUGUGUGUGUGUCCAUGUUGGUGCUCUGGGAUCCUUGUUCUGAAGAACCUCUUGAAACAGAGGACUUCCUGUAGCUGGUGUUAUGUUAAUUGUAUGUACCACAUACAUCCUGAAAACAUUAAUAAAGGACUUUGGAGGUUUUUGUAUGUGA